GACGAACGCUGGCGGCGUGCUUAACACAUGCAAGUCGAACGGAAAGGCCCUGCUUUUGUGGGGUGCUCGAGUGGCGAACGGGUGAGUAACACGUGAGUAACCUGCCCUUGACUUUGGGAUAACUUCAGGAAACUGGGGCUAAUACCGGAUAUGAGCUCCUGCUGCAUGGUGGGGGUUGGAAAGUUUCGGCGGUUGGGGAUGGACUCGCGGCUUAUCAGCUUGUUGGUGGGGUAGUGGCUUACCAAGGCUUUGACGGGUAGCCGGCCUGAGAGGGUUACCGGCCACAUUGGGACUGAGAUACGGCCCAGACUCCUACGGGAGGCAGCAGUGGGGAAUAUUGCACAAUGGGCGGAAGCCUGAUGCAGCAACGCCGCGUGCGGGAUGACGGCCUUCGGGUUGUAAACCGCUUUCGCAUGUGACGAAGAGUGAGUGACGGUAAUGGGUAAAGAAGCACCGGCUAACUACGUG
rnacentral:rRNA from 1 species